rnacentral:rRNA from 1 species
AAUAUUGCACAAUGGGGGAAACCCUGAUGCAGCGACGCCGCGUGAGCGAAUAAGGCCNNNGGGUCNUAAAUCUCUUGCCUAAGNGAANAAACGGACGGUACCUUAGGAGGAAGCCCCGCCUACCUCCGCCCCUGCAGCCGCGGUAAUAGGUAGGGGGCUAGCGUUAUCCGGAAGUAUUGGGCGUAAAGGGGGCGUAGGCGGCCUUUUAAGUAAGAUGUAAAAGGCUACGGCUUAACCGUAGUUAGCAUUUGAAACUAAAAGGCUUGAGUGCAGGAGAGGAGAGUGGAAUUCCUAGUGUAGCGGUGAAAUGCGUAGAUAUUAGGAGGAACACCAGUGGCGAAGGCGACUCUCUGGACUGAAACUGACGCUGAGGCACGAAAGCGUGGGGAGCGAACAG